rnacentral:rRNA from 1 species
AGUGAACGCUGGCGGUAGGCCUAACACAUGCAAGUCGAACGGCAGCACAGUAAGAGCUUGCUCUUACGGGUGGCGAGUGGCGGACGGGUGAGGAAUACAUCGGAAUCUACUUUUUCGUGGGGGAUAACGUAGGGAAACUUACUCUAAUACCGCAUACGACCUACGGGUGAAAGCAGGGGAUCUUCGGACCUUGCGCGAUUGAAUGAGCCGAUGUCGGAUUAGCUAGUUGGCGGGGUAAAGGCCAACCAGGGCGACGAUCCGUAGCUGGUCUGAGAGGAUGAUCGGCCACACUGGAACUGAGACACGGUCCAGACUCCUACGGGAGGCAGCAGUGGGGAAUAUUGGACAAUGGGCGCAAGCCGGAUCCAGCCAUACCGCGUGGGUGAAGAAGGCCUUCGGGUUGUAAAGCCCUUUUGUUGGGAAAGAAAAGCAGCAGGUUAAUACCCCGCUGUUCUGACGGUACCCAAAGAAUAAGCACCGGCUAACUUCGUG